AAACCAGGGCUGCGUCGCGGAUUGUCCAACCAUAGUUGCAGACAGUCCCCCAUUUAUCACCAACUUUUACCUUGAAAAUAAGUCACGCGGUUGGAGUAAAUUACAAAAGAACUUAAUAAGAACUUGGUAAUAUUUUCUUCUUCAAAGAAAUAACUAAAUCUAAACGAAAUAUUAGAAAAAUGAAACUGAAACGAGUCAUUGAACUCGUAAAUAUAAUGUAGCUUACAAUUUCUAAUAACAAUAUCCAUAGCAUUAACCCUUUGGUGAGAUGAAAUGUUCAGAUUUGGAAGACUAAGUCGUGGAAGAAUGAUUUAAUCAGUCGAACAGUAAGAAAUCAGCACGUUUUCUUUCUUUCUAAUUAAGCAAUUGAUGUAUAAUUUAGCUUCAUAUGUCGAAGGUUUUUAUGUUUCGAAGAAUCUUCGUCAAAGGGUUAAUUUCAUUUUCAUUAUGUAAAAUAUAAGAUUACAGCCGUCACAAACGAUUAAAGGAUGUUUCUCAGCUUGUUGUAAGUCGAUCCUUCCUACCUGCAGUCUUCCUUCCAGAUUAGUCUUGCCGCCAAGAAGUCGCACAGACAGCUCCAUCUCUUUCAUCUGAUUGAAUCCCUCGUUCAUCAGUGUACCGUUAUCCGAGUCCAUGACAACCUCCUCUUUCAAAGUGAACAAGAUAUCACUGGGUCGUUUGCCACGAGCAUCGAGCCUGCCAGCAACCAUCAUCCCCACAGCUGGGGGGAAGCGUAAGGUGACGCCAGGAUGCAGUAUCAACUUGCCAUCCGGUCGUACGUUAAUAUCGCGCUCGACGAUGUACUCUCCAGAGCUCAGGAACUCCUGGCCGUCCACUUCACCGCCAACCAAGUUCGUUUCAGGUGUGACGAAGCGAGGCACGAACGUCGGAUUGGAAAUGAUGGUGUUUGCUCCUGGAUUGCUGCUGUGUAAUUACAUGAGAAAAAUUGUCGACGAAACGUUCAAAUCAAAGACGAACCUGUGGAACAGCCUGUCGAAUAUCCUCUUCUCCUCCGCAUACCCGAGCCAGUUGAAGGUGCAAUUAAUGACUUUGGACUGAUCCUCCAGGUUCAACGCGGGGCUCAGUUUGAUGCCGAACUUCGCGUUCUGCACGAAUGAAUUAUGGCCAAUUUGGAGCUUCAACGUCCCCCCGUCCUGCCUCCAGCUGGACUCCACUUGGAGGGCCGUCUCGGCGCUGCUGUUGAACCAAUUGCCCGUCACGUUCACGUAGGAGUUGCCGGUCACGUUGCCGACCUGCAGAGCGAAUAAUAAGGGUACAGUGUACCGUGGAAAGUAGGCACCAUCAUUUGAAAGUCACACUCCGCUUCACUUCGGUUUUAUG